rnacentral:rRNA from 1 species
GAUGAACGCUAGCGACAGGCUUAACACAUGCAAGUCGAGGGGCAGCAUGAACUUAGCUUGCUAAGUUUGAUGGCGACCGGCGCACGGGUGAGUAACGCGUAUGCAACUUACCUAUCAGAGGAGAAUAGCUCAUCGAAAGAUGAAUUAAUGCUCCAUAAAACAGGGGUCCCGCAUGGGAAUAUUUGUUAAAGAUUCAUCGCUGAUAGAUAGGCAUGCGUUCCAUUAGGCAGUUGGCGGGGUAACGGCCCACCAAGGCGACGAUCAGUAGCCGGACUGAGAGGUUGAACGGCCACAUUGGGACUGAGACACGGCCCAG